AAAAAGAUAAGCUAAAUAAGCUAACAGGUUCAUACCCUGUAUAUAGAAGCCAACCCUCUUCUUUUUA
rnacentral:tRNA from 1 species